UACGAAGGGUGCAAGCGUUACUCGGAAUUACUGGGCGUAAAGCGUGCGUAGGUGGUUCGUUAAGUCUGAUGUGAAAGCCCUGGGCUCAACCUGGGAAUGGCAUUGGAAACUGGCGACCUAGAGUGCGGUAGAGGGUAGUGGAAUUCCCGGUGUAGCAGUGAAAUGCGUAGAGAUCGGGAGGAACACCCGUGGCGAAGGCGGCUCACUGGGCCGGUCCUGACGCUGAGACGCGAAAGCUAGGGGAGCAAACAGG
rnacentral:rRNA from 1 species